rnacentral:rRNA from 1 species
UCGCAUCUGUGCAUGCAGCAUAUCAAUAAGCGGAGGAAAAGAAACUAACAAGGAUUCCCCUAGUAACGGCGAGUGAAGCGGGAAGAGCUCAAAUUUGAAAUCUUAAAGGGUUUCCCUUUACGAAUUGUAGUUUAAAGAAGUGUUUUCUGUUGAGGUUUUAGUAAAAGUUCUUUGGAAUAGGACAUCAUAGAGGGUGAGAAUCCCGUAUUUGACCUUUACUUUCAACUUUGUGAUACACUUUCAAAGAGUCGGAUUGUUUGGGAAUGCAGUCCAAAAUGGGUGGUAAAUUUCAUCUAAAGCUAAAUAUUGGCGAGAGACCGAUAGCGAACAAGUACCGUGAGGGAAAGAUGAAAAGAACUUUGAAAAGAGAGUUAAACAGUACGUGAAAUUGUCAAAAGGGAAGCGUUUGACACCAGUGUUGUUUUUCUGAAAAUCAAUUAAAGAACUGUUUAUGCUAAGUUGUUUAGACAUUUAUCAGCUAUCUGCUUAGUUUUGAGCUUUUCUUUAAUGCACCUUUUCAGUUAACAAGGUCAACAUCAAUUUCUUUUACUGUAAAAAAGCUUGAGGAAGGUGGCUUGAGAUUCGUCUUAAGUGUUUAUAGCCUCUUGCCUAUGCAGUCGGAGAGAUUGAGGUCUGCAGCGUAGAUCCUUCGGGGCUAAAUGCAUUUGUGCUAAGUUAUAGCAUUUUAUAGACAACUUGUUGACUAUGAUUUGUCUUGUAGCUUACUCGCUUAUGUUAUUUUACCUACGCUUAGGAUGUUGAGUCGUAGAGCACGCAG